rnacentral:rRNA from 1 species
AACGAACGCUGGCGGCAGGCCUAACACAUGCAAGUCGAGCGAGGACUUCGGUUCUAGCGGCGGACGGGUGAGUAACGCGUGGGAAUGUGCCCUUCUCUACGGAAUAGCCCUGGGAAACUGGGAGUAAUACCGUAUACGCCCUAUUGUGGAAAGAUUUAUCGGAGAAGGAUCAGCCCGCGUUGGAUUAGGUAGUUGGUGGGGUAAUGGCCUACCAAGCCGACGAUCCAUAGCUGGUUUGAGAGGAUGAUCAGCCACACUGGGACUGAGACACGGCCCAGACUCCUACGGGAGGCAGCAGUGGGGAAUCUUAGACAAUGGGGGCAAACCUGAUCUAGCCAUGCCGCGUGAGUGAUGAAGGCCUUAGGGUUGUAAAGCUCUUUCAGCUGGGAAGAUAAUGACGGUACCAGCAGAAGAAGCCCCGGCUAACUCCGUG